CCCCCCCCCCCCCCCCCCCCCCCCCCCCCCCCCCCCCCCCCCCCCCCCCCCCCCCCCCCCCCCCCCCCCCCCCAGCACCGACCUCCUGGCUGACAUCGGGGGGGACCCCUUCGCCAGCCCCGCCCCAGCGCCCGCCUUCGCUGCUUUCCCCGGCCCGGCCCCACCCCGCUCUGCCUUCCCCAGUUUCAAUGCCUUUGGAACCAGCCCUGGAGCACCAGCGUUUGGGGGAGCCGUGCCUCCCUUCCACAUCCCACCCACCACCACAGGUGCUGCUUUCACCUCGCCUCCUGCCCCUGGAGGGUUCCCCAGCCCCUUCCAGGCUGAUGCUCCAGGGCUGCCUUUCGGCGGGUUCAACGUUGCCAAAGCUUCCACCAACCCCUUCGUGACGGUCCCGACCCCGGCGGCGCCGUUCGGCACCAGGCACCGGACCACCAACCCGUUCCUCUGACCGCGGCUGCGGGUGGCGGCCCAGGCAGUGCACCCCUCCAACCCCCUCCGCCGGGACCACCGUUCUAUUUUUGUUCCGAGAGAUUUAUCGUGAUAUCUAAUAUAUAUUCGAUAGAAACGGCUUCGGUCUCGGUACCUGCCUUGAGCUUCUCCAGCUGAAAUUCCCACCCCACCCCCCGCUUCACCGCUCUGCCCUCACUAAAGAUGGCGGCCCCAUUGUACCCUAUCUGCCCUCAGCCAAGAUGGCGGCCGCGGCCUCACAACUGAGGGCAUAAACAUGGCGGCGUGCCCUCAACAAAAAUGGCGCCAAAGCCGCGCUGNAUAUCCACACUUACAACAAAAUCGUCAUUAUAAUAAUUGGAAUAACGGCGAUGUAAUAGUUAAAUAUAAUAUCUUUAAUAAUAAUUAAUUGUAAUAAAUUUUGGUCAUCCGUAUUUUUUACAUUCUUUCAUCAUAAUUAAGUUACAAUUAACCAUAAUUAUUAACUUAUGCUCACAGUCCUGUAUAACAACUCAUUAUAAUAAUUAUUAUUAUUGUGUCAACUCAUAAUAAUAAUAAUAAUAAACCUCAUAAUAAUAACUCAUCAUAAUUAAUUAAAAUAUGAAUAAUUAAGGUCAUUCCCCCCCGGGGCAGGGGAGCCAAAGGGGUUCAGCCCUAUAACAACUCAUUAUAAUAAUUAUUAUUAUUGUGUCAACUCAUAAUAAUAAUAAUAAUAAACCUCAUAAUAAUAA
rnacentral:lncRNA from 12 species